UACGUAGGGGGCAAGCGUUGUCCGGAAUCAUUGGGCGUAAAGAGCGUGUAGGCGGUCCGGUAAGUCCGUUGUGAAAGUCAGGGGCUCAACCCUUGAAUGCCGGCGGAUACUGUCGGGCUAGAGUCCGGAAGAGGCAAGUGGAAUUCCCGGUGUAGCGGUGAAAUGCGCAGAUAUCGGGAGGAACACCUAUGGCGAAGGCAGCUUGCUGGGACGGCACUGACGCUGAGACGCGAAAGCGUGGGGAGCAAACAGG
rnacentral:rRNA from 1 species